rnacentral:rRNA from 1 species
GAUGAACGCUGGCGGCGUGCUUAACACAUGCCAGUCGAACGAAGCACUUUAUUUGAUUUCCUUCGGGACUGAUUAUUUUGUGACUGAGUGGCGGACGGGUGAGUAACGCGUGGGUAACCUGCCUUGUACAGGGGGAUAACAGUUGGAAACGGCUGCUAAUACCGCAUAAGCGCACAGCAUCGCAUGAUGCAGUGUGAAAAACUCCGGUGGUAUAAGAUGGAACCGCGUUGGAUUAGCUAGUUGGUGAGGUAACGGCCCACCAAGGCGACGAUCCAUAGCCGACCGGAGAGGGUGACAGGCCACAUUGGGAAUGAGACACGGCCCAAAAUCCGACGGGAGGGAGGAGUGGGGAAUAUUGCACAAUGGGGGAAAGCCUGAUGAAGCGACGCCGCGUGAGCGAAGAAGUAUGUCGGUAUGUAAAGCUCUAUCAGAAGGGAAGAUAAUGACGGUACCUGACGAAGAAGCACCGGCUAAAUACGUG